CUCUCAGUAUCUUCAGGGGUGCUAAAGGACUCAUUCAACAAUUGAAUCAUCUCCUCGGAUUACGCAUCUUCGAACUUAUGGUUAAGUUCAUCAUUCAUGGCUGCUCUCAUAACGCACUGUAGUGCGAUCAUUGAACUACUUCAUAUAAGUAUCUCUCAUAGCACAGGGUGCAUUGGCAGCAGGUUCUUUGGGUGCGAGAUCCAUAAGCACGCACAUGAUCUUUUCGUACUCUAGGAUGAUCUUAAGUUUUCAAUACCAGCUAUUGAAAUUUGAUUCGAUAAGCUUGUCACUGUCCAAUAGCGAUCAGAGCGAUAAUGUGUUGGCCAUAGUUGGAAAAAAAAUCAAAAGUCUAUUAGUAUAUGAAUUAUUUUAAUCCUAAAGAUAUAAUCUUUAGUCUAAAGAUCCUUCCAUUAUUUUAUAUAAAUUGGUAGCCUCUACUUUCAAUUCAAAGAAUUAUAUUAAUCUCUUAGCGGGUACUAGAAUCUACACAGACUGCAUUCGGAUUCGAGUGUGGCUUGACCAACCUUAGUGCAUCCAUGGGUAGGUUCUUAAUCAAU
rnacentral:lncRNA from 1 species